CUACGGGCUGCUGCAGUGAGGAAUAUUGGUCAAUGGGCGAAAGCCUGAACCAGCCAUGCCGCGUGAAGGAUGACAGCGCUACGCGUUGUAAACUUCUUUUGUACGGGAAGAAACACUUCUACGUGUAGAAGCUUGACGGUACCGUACGAAUAAGCAUCGGCUAACUCCGUGCCAGCAGCCGCGGUAAUACGGAGGAUGCAAGCGUUAUCCGGAUUUAUUGGGUUUAAAGGGUACGUAGGCGGAAAAUUUAGUCAGUGGUGAAAUCCCGCAGCUUAACUGUGGAACCGUCAUUGAUACUGGUUUUCUUGAAUGUAGUUGAGGUAGGCGGAAUGUGUAAUGUAGCGGUGAAAUGCUUAGAUAUUACACAGAACACCGAUUGCGAAGGCAGCUUACUAAGCUACGAUUGACGCUGAGGUACGAAAGCGUGGGGAGCGAACAGGAUUAGAUACCCUUGUAGUC
rnacentral:rRNA from 1 species